rnacentral:snRNA from 1 species
GAAUGUAAGGGCUACCUGGCUGCAACAUCUUUCAUCCCAUUGAUCACCAGGGUUGAUCUGGCUGAUGGCUGGCUGGGGGUGGGUGUCUUCUUCCUCCCUCACUGCUCCAUGUGCGUUGCUCUGGAAGCUGUGUCCUGGGUCUAGGAGGACAACCAUCUCCAGUAGAGGAGAAUGGGUCUUCUUUCAAGAGGAUACGAGUAGCUGUGCUUCCCUGAUAGAACCUCCGAACAAGCUCUCAAGGACAAACUAUCAAACGGUCCCAUGAGGUAAAAACAAUAAAUAAUGGCUUUCCUGGAACAUUUUCCUGCAAAA